rnacentral:misc_RNA from 1 species
GCCAGGUCUACGGUUUACCUAGAAUUGAAGCGCCUUUCUUCUUCCCUCUUCUCUUUCUCUAGUUGAUACAACGCGAAGCAAUCAGAGUCUAUUUCUUUGAAUUUGAGCUCUAGAGGCUUUGCCAGCAAGUUACCGGAGCCAUGGGAGAUCUCUCAUCGAGCAAUAGCUCCGGCGAGGGUCGGACGGUCCCGAAGGUCCCGAUCCCUGGCAAGAGAAACAUACUUAUCACUAGCGCCUUGCCUUAUGUCAAUAACGUCCCUCACCUUGGCAAUAUCAUCGGCUCUGUUUUGAGCGCUGAUGUUUUUGCUCGAUAUUGCCGGCUUCGAGGCUACAAUGCCUCAUACAUAUGUGGGACUGAUGAGUAUGGAACAGCAACAGAGACCAAGGCCAUGGAGGAGAAUUGCACCCCAAAAGAGAUUUGUGACAAGUGACUUUUUUUACUCAACUCCAUGAUGUGCUUGAAUAAUUAUCAGCCAUUAUUUGUUGUUCAAUAAUAUCUGUUAAUGCUUAGGGAUAUAUUAUGUAGCUUAUUGGUGGUUGACUUUGAUAUUUUAGCUUUUUUUAUAUUGGGUUCCAGUACCGUGUGUAUAAAUGUUGUUUAGCAUGAAAUGGAUCUUGAUUUUUAAGCCUCAAUGUUUGACAUUGACAUUCAUCCAGCAAUGAGAACACAGAAUUCAAUUUUUAUAUCUAUGUUUUUUUUAAUUGUCUCUUUAUGAUUGCUUGGAAGGGGUCCUAUCAGUAUUUCUAUGUUCUCAAAUAUGUUGGCACAUACUGUCAUUGUGAUUUCAACUCAAUUUUAUUUUGUUAGAACUUCCUUUUUGGAGUUAAUCAGAGUAAUAAUGUAUUUAGCUGAAUCUUAUUGUAAGGAUUUUUUCCCUUGGGUGAUGAGAGGUUUAUUUAUUUGAUGCUUGAACAGAAUAUAAUUCAUUUAUUGGGCUAAAUAUUUUAUAAUUGUAUUUAGCUUCUUCUCUAUGCCUUUCUAGGUACCAUGCAAUUCAUAGGGAAGUUUAUAAAUGGUUUAAUAUAAGUUUUGAUGAAUUUGGACGAACAUCAACUCCACAGCAGACCGAAGUUUGCCAAGCAAUUUUUAAAUUAUUGUUAGAGAACAAUUGGCUUUCUGAGAACACAAUUCAGCAGCUAUACUGUGAUACAUGCAAAAGGUUCUUAGCUGAUCGGCUUGUAGAGGGUAUUUGUCCAACUGAAGGGUGUAAUUAUGAUUCUGCACGAGGAGAUCAAUGUGAAAAGUGUGGAAAGCUGUUGAAUCCAACAGAGUUAAAAGAUCCUAGGUGCAAGGUUUGUUGCAACACUCCACAUAUUCGUGAUACAAAUCACUUGUUUCUUGAGCUUCCUCUGCUAAAGGAUAAAUUGGUAAAGUAUAUUGAGAGCAUGUCAGUAGCUGGAUCUUGGAGCCAGAAUGCUAUUCAAGCAACGUAUGCUUGGUUGAAAGAAGGAUUGAAGCAACGAUGUAUUACUAGAGAUCUGAAGUGGGGAGUUCCAGUUCCGCAUGAGAAAUUUAUGGACAAGGUUUUCUAUGUCUGGUUUGAUGCACCUAUUGGAUAUGUCUCUAUCACUUCAUGCUACACACCUGACUGGGAGAAGUGGUGGAAGAAUCCUGAAAAUGUGGAGCUUUAUCAGUUUAUGGGAAAGGAUAAUGUGCCAUUCCACACUGUGAUGUUUCCAUCAACACUUCUAGGAACUGGUGAAAAUUGGACCUUGAUGAAGACUAUAAGUGUUACUGAAUACUUAAACUAUGAAGCAGGAAAGUUUUCGAAGAGUAAAGGUAUAGGUGUUUUUGGUAAUGAUGCAAAAGACACAAACAUUCCUGUAGAAGUCUGGAGAUAUUAUUUACUAACUAACAGGCCAGAGGUAAACCUGUUCUUUCCUAUCCUAUUUUCAGUGUAGUUAAAUAUUUCAUUCUGUUCUUGCAGUAUGUAAAAUGCAAUUCGUUUGGGCUUGUUUUAAUCAGGUAUCUGACACACUAUUUACAUGGUCUGAUUUGCAAGCAAAACUUAACAGUGAGUUGCUAAAUAAUUUGGGCAACUUCAUCAAUCGAGUUUUGAGUUUUAUUGCUAAACCUCCAGGAACAGGAUAUGGUUCCAUUAUUCCAGAUGCUCCAAAUGCAGACUCACAUCUCCUGACAAAGAAAUUGGCUGAAGAAGUUGGUAAAUAUGUGGAGCAAUAUGUUGAAGCUAUGGAAAAGGUCAAAUUAAAGCAAGGACUGAAAACUGCAAUGAGCAUUUCUAGUGAAGGGAAUGCAUAUUUGCAAGAAAGCCAAUUCUGGAAGCUUUACAAGGAAGACCAAUCUUCAUGUAAUAUAGUUAUGAGGACUUCUGUAGGACUUGUAUACCUUCUUGCUUGUUUAUUAGAACCCUUUAUGCCAUCUUUCUCUUUUGAGGUUUUCAAGCAGCUUAAUUUGCCUCCUGAGAAAGCUUCACUUUGUGAUGAAAAAGGAGAUAUUGAUAGGGCAAAGAGACCUUGGGAGUUUCUACCUCCCAAUCACAAAAUUGGGACACCAGAGCCAUUGUUCAAGGAACUGAAAGAUGAGGAAGUUGAUUUCUUCAGGAAGAAAUUUGCUGGAAGUCAAGCUGAGAGGGCAGAAGCCGAAGCGGCAAAGGUUGCUGAGCAACUGAAGAAGACUAAAGUUUCGGGUCAUUAAUCAUUCCAUCCUUUUCCUCUCAAUCAAACUAUUUUAUUCUUCAUCACAGAAGCAAUUGUUAAUUUGCACUUGAUUGCUUAUUGUGACUGUUUGUAAGAGUGAUUGGUGUGCCAUUUCAAACAGUUGCUUACACAAGUAGGACCUCUUUUUUCUUUUGGGUUGGGGUGGGUUUUGACAGAUGGUAACGGGAAGAAGCAACAGAUCAAAAAGCCUUCUGCCAAAGCCAAAUCAAAGAGCACUGUUGAGCCAGAAAUCUCCAUCACUAGACUUGAUAUUCGUGUUGGCCUAAUUAAGAAAGCUCAGAAGCAUCCCGAUGCUGAUUCGCUAUAUGUGGAAGAAAUCGAUGUCGGGGGAGGAGAGACUAGAAAAGUUGUUAGUGGACUAGUCAAUUAUAUACCUCUAGAAGAGAUGCAGGAUCGUAAGGUCUGUGUCCUUUGUAACUUAAAGCCUGCAACCAUGAGGGGUAUCAAGUCACAGGCUAUGGUUCUUGCUGCUUCCAACAGUGACCACACAAAGGUUGAGUUGGUUGAUCCACCUGAAUCUGCUGCUGUUGGAGAGAGAGUUACAUUUCCUGGGUUUGAAGGUGAGCCGGAUGAUGUCCUAAACCCUAAAAAGAAGGUCUGGGAGACACUGCAAGUGGAUCUCCAAACGAACACAGAUCUAGUAGCCUGCUAUAAAGAUAUUCCGUUCACCACGUCGGCUGGUGUAUGCAAGGUUGCAUCCAUUCAAAGUGGAUCAGUAAGGUAGAUAGCAUAAAUUAUUGGAAGUCACGGUAGAAAGCCCCAGAUUUUGACUCAUUGCUUUUCUCUUAGUUCGCCAUGCAUUUCCAAUUUUAAGUAAAAUCGACUUUUCUUCAUGAGUGAACCAUACAGAAAUGCUAACGGGAAGAAUGGAAGUGCUUCGUGUAUUGCCAUUUUUGUAAGGGUAUUUAACUAAAUGUGCAGGAGGCUUGUCAAAAUUAACUAGUUAGUCCCUUCUGUUUGAAAACUUAAUAAUUUAGUUCUUAAUGAUUAAAAUUGUUAACAAAUUGGUGUUUCUGUUUAAAUUGGGUUUAUUUUGCCACUAAUCAUGGGCCACGUAGAUUUCGUUUUUAAUUGGAAAACGAGUUG